rnacentral:rRNA from 1 species
GGAAUCUUGCACAAUGGAGGAAACUCUGAUGCAGCGAUGCCGCGUGAGUGAAGAAGGCCUUUGGGUUGUAAAGCUCUUUCGUCGGGGAAGAAAAUGACUGUACCCGAAUAAGAAGGUCCGGCUAACUUCGUGCCAGCAGCCGCGGUAAUACGAAGGGACCUAGCGUAGUUCGGAAUUACUGGGCUUAAAGAGUUCGUAGGUGGUUGAAAAAGUUGGUGGUGAAAUCCCAGAGCUUAACUCUGGAACUGCCAUCAAAACUUUUCAGCUAGAGUAUGAUAGAGGAAAGCAGAAUUUCUAGUGUAGAGGUGAAAUUCGUAGAUAUUAGAAAGAAUACCAACUGCGAAGGCAGCUUUCUGGAUCAUUACUGACACUGAGGAACGAAAGCAUGGGUAGCGAAGAGGAUUAGAUACCCUCGUAGUCCAUGCCGUAAACGAUGUGUGUUAGACGUUGGAAAUUUAUUUUCAGUGUCGCAGGGAAACCGAUAAACACACCGCCUGGGGAGUACGACCGCAAGGUUAAAACUCAAAUGAAUUGACGGGGACCCGCACAAGUAGUGGAGCAUGUGGUUUAAUUCGAAGAUACGCGCAGAACCUUACCAACACUUGACAUGUUCGUCGCGACUCUAAGAGAUUAGAGUUUUCGGUUCGGCCGGACGAAACACAGGUGCUGCAUGGCUGUCGUCAGCUCGUGUCGUGAGAUGUUGGGUUAAGUCCCGCAACGAGCGCAACCCUCACUUUUAGUUGCCAUCAUUAAGUUGGGCACUCUGAAAGAACUGCCAGUGAUAAGCUGGAGGAAGGUGGGGAUGA